UCCACACGCGUGGAGUUGCGUCCGGCACGGGCGCCUCAUCCACCCCCGUGUCGGAGCAGACCCGCCCGGUCGUCCCCCGGGCGGGUC
rnacentral:ncRNA from 1 species